UGCAAGUCGAGCGGACCGACGGGAGCUUGCUCCCUUAGGUCAGCGGCGGACGGGCGAGUAACACGUGGGUAACCUGCCUGUAAGACUGGGAUAACUCCGGGAAACCGGGGCUAAUACCGGAUGCUUGAUUGAACCGCAUGGUUCAAUUAUAAAAGGUGGCUUUUAGCUACCACUUACAGAUGGACCCGCGGCGCAUUAGCUAGUUGGUGAGGUAACGGCUCACCAAGGCGACGAUGCGUAGCCGACCUGAGAGGGUGAUCGGCCACACUGGGACUGAGACACGGCCCAGACUCCUACGGGAGGCAGCAGUAGGGAAUCUUCCGCAAUGGACGAAAGUCUGACGGAGCAACGCCGCGUGAGUGAUGAAGGUUUUCGGAUCGUAAAACUCUGUUGUUAGGGAAGAACAAGUACCGUUCGAAUAGGGCGGUACCUUGACGGUACCUAACCAGAAAGCCACGGCUAACUACGUGCCAGCAGCCGCGGUAAUACGUAGGUGGCAAGCGUUGUCCGGAAUUAUUGGGCGUAAAGCGCGCGCAGGCGGUUUCUUAAGUCUGAUGUGAAAGCCCCCGGCUCAACCGGGGAGGGUCAUUGGAAACUG
rnacentral:rRNA from 1 species